rnacentral:rRNA from 1 species
AACGCGAAGAACCUUACCUGGGUUAGACAACGUCGGACAGUUCCAGAGAUGGAAUUUCCCCUUCGGGGGUCGGCGGUUUAGGUGCUGCAUGGCUGUCGUCAGCUCGUAUCGUGAGAUGUCGGGUUAAGUCCCUUAACGAGCGCAACCCUUGUCCCUAGUUGCCACCAUUUAGUUGGGCACUCUAGGGAGACUGCCGGUGUUAAACCGGAGGAAGGUGGGGAUGACGUCAAGUCCUCAUGGCCCUUAUGUCCAGGGCUACACACGUGCUACAAUGGCCGGUACAGAGGGUUGCCAACCCGCAAGGGGGAGCUAAUCUCAUAAAGCCGGUCUCAGUUCGGAUUGAAGUCUGCAACUCGACUUCAUGAAGCUGGAAUCGCUAGUAAUCGCGGAUCAGAACGCCGCGGUGAAUACGUUCCCGGGCCUUGUACACACCGUAGAGAC